rnacentral:rRNA from 1 species
UACGUAGGGUGCGAGCGUUGUCCGGAAUUAUUGGGCGUAAAGAGCUUGUAGGCGGUUUGUCGCGUCUGCUGUGAAAAUCCGGGGCUCAACCCCGGACUUGCAGUGGGUACGGGCAGACUAGAGUGUGGUAGGGGAGACUGGAAUUCCUGGUGUAGCGGUGGAAUGCGCAGAUAUCGGGAGGAACACCGAUGGCGAAGGCAGGUCUCUGGGCCACUACUGACGCUGAGAAGCGAAAGCAUGGGGAGCAAACAGG